rnacentral:lncRNA from 1 species
AAAAUUGCAGAUGUGGAAGAUUUUAAUAUGAUGAAGAGUUGCGGAACAUAUUUGAAUACAUAUUCUAGAGGAUUAGUUAUAUUAGUUCCAAUAUUAUAAGUUUAUUUUUAUGUUGUGACAUUUCUUGUGGAUUAGUACUUUGUAUAGAUUUAAUGAGAUAUAUUUUGUUUUAUAAAUUAAAGUAAUAUGUUAACAUUUGCAGAAUUUGUUGCUUUACUAACAUUAUUUGUAGCAGCC